GACGAACGCUGGCGGCGUGCCUAAUACAUGCAAGUCGAACGCUGAAGAGAGGAGCUUGCUCUUCUUGGAUGAGUUGCGAACGGGUGAGUAACGCGUAGGUAACCUGCCUUGUAGCGGGGGAUAACUAUUGGAAACGAUAGCUAAUACCGCAUAACAAUGGAUGACACAUGUCAUUUAUUUGAAAGGGGCAAUUGCUCCACUACAGGAUGGACCUGCGUUGUAUUAGCUAGUAGGUGAGGUAAUGGCUCACCUAGGCGACGAUACAUAGCCGACCUGAGAGGGUGAUCGGCCACACUGGGACUGAGACACGGCCCAGACUCCUACGGGAGGCAGCAGUAGGGAAUCUUCGGCAAUGGGGGCAACCCUGACCGAGCAACGCCGCGUGAGUGAAGAAGGUUUUCGGAUCGUAAAGCUCUGUUGUAAGUCAAGAACGGGUGUGAGAGUGGAAAGUUCACACUGUGACGGUAGCUUACCAGAAAGGGACGGCUAACUACGUG
rnacentral:rRNA from 1 species